rnacentral:rRNA from 1 species
UACAGAGGUCCCAAGCGUUGUUCGGAUUCACUGGGCGUAAAGGGUGCGUAGGUGGUGAGGUAAGUCGGAUGUGAAAUCUCCAGGCUCAACCUGGAAAUGGCAUUGGAAACUACCUUGCUAGAGGGUUUGAGGGGGGACUGGAAUACUUGGUGUAGCAGUGAAAUGCGUAGAUAUCAAGUGGAACACCAGUGGCGAAGGCGAGUCCCUGGAAAAUACCUGACACUGAGGCACGAAAGCUAGGGGAGCGAACGGG